UACGUAGGCGGGAAAUUAAGUCAGUAGUGAAAUCCCACAGCUUAACUGUGGAACUGUUAUUGAUACUGGUUUUCUUGAAUAUAGUUGAGGUAGGCGGAAUGUGUAAUGUAGCGGUGAAAUGCUUAGAUAUUACACAGAACACCGAUUGCGAAGGCAGCUUACUAAGCUAUGAUUGACGCUGAGGUACGAAAGCGUGGGGAGCAAACAGGAUUAGAUACCCUGGUAGUC
rnacentral:rRNA from 1 species